GCCCGAAUGGCUCAGUGGUAAAGCGUCUCACUAGUAUCUCCGUCUGCCUCCGGACUGUAUCCAGUCAUGAAGCGAUUGUCCCCGACAUGAGAAGAUCGCCAGUUCGAUUCUGGCUUUGGGCA